ACACAUGCAAGUCGAACGGUAACAGAAAAAAGCUUGCUUUUUUGCUGACGAGUGGCGCACGGGUGCGUAACGCGUAUACAAUCUACCUUUUACAGGGGAAUAGCCUUUAGAAAUGAAGAAUAAUACCCCAUAGUAAGUAAUUUUCGCAUGGAAAAUACUUUAAAGAUUUAUCGGUAAAAGAUGAGUAUGCGUUCUAUUAGCUAGAUGGUAAGGUAACGGCUUACCAUGGCAACGAUAGAUAGGGGCCCUGAGAGGGGGAUCCCCCACACUGGUACUGAGACACGGACCAGACUCCUACGGGAGGCAGCAGUGAGGAAUAUUGGACAAUGGAGGAAACUCUGAUCCAGCCAUGCCGCGUGCAGGAAGACUGCCCUAUGGGUUGUAAACUGCUUUUAUACAGGAAGAAACCUUUCCACGUGUGGAGAGCUGACGGUACUGUAAGAAUA
rnacentral:rRNA from 1 species